GUGCCAGCAGCCGCGGUAAUACGUAGGGUACAAGCGUUGUCCGGAAUUAUUGGGCGUAAAGAGCUCGUAGGUGGUUUGUCGCGUCUGCUGUGGAAUCGUGCCGCUUAACGGUGCGCGUGCAGUGGGUACGGGCAGACUGGAGUGCAGUAGGGGAGUCUGGAAUUCCUGGUGUAGCGGUGAAAUGCGCAGAUAUCAGGAGGAACACCGGUGGCGAAGGCGGGACUCUGGGCUGUUACUGACGCUGAGGAGCGAAAGCAUGG
rnacentral:rRNA from 1 species